rnacentral:lncRNA from 1 species
CCAUCUCAGCUGCUUCCUCUCCACCAGAGCAUUCAGCAGGGCAGCAGGCAACAACUCACAUCUCCACCUCCCUCUUACCAAGCAGAAGCUGUGGUCAGAAGCUGUGGGUCAUCUCCUUUCUUCUUCCCCAUGAGCCGAGCUGCACAUCCACCAGUAGCAGGCUAGCAGCUUGUUAUAUCUCCAUCGAUUCUUGCAGCACCACAAAAUCAAGCAGCUGUAGCUCAAAUCAGCAAUCGCCAG